rnacentral:tRNA from 1 species
AAAGUUUUAGUUUAAUUAAAAUAUUUUUUUUACAAGAAAAAGAUAAAAAUUUAAUUUUUAAAUUUUA